rnacentral:rRNA from 1 species
ACGAACGCUGGCGGCAGGCCUAACACAUGCAAGUCGAGCGCCCCGCAAGGGGAGCGGCGCACGGGUGAGUAACACGUGGGAACGUGCCUAGCAGUACGGAACAACUCCGGGAAACCGGAGCUAAUACCGUAUAUUCCCUCCGGGGGAAAGAUUCAUCGCUGCUGGAGCGGCCCGCGUCGGAUUAGGUAGUUGGCGGGGUAACGGCCCACCAAGCCGACGAUCCGUAGCUGGUUUGAGAGAACGACCAGCCACACUGGGACUGAGACACGGCCCAGACUCCUACGGGAGGCAGCAGUGGGGAAUCUUGGACAAUGGGCGCAAGCCUGAUCCAGCCAUGCCGCGUGAGUGAUGAAGGCCUUCGGGUUGUAAAACUCUUUCGACGGGGAAAAUAAUGAUGGUACCCGUAGAAGAAGCCCCGGCUAACUUCGU